GCGCCAGUAGCUCAGUUGGAUAGAGCAGCUGCCUUCUAAGCAGCAGGCCAGGGGUUCGAAUCCCUUCUGGCGUGCCA
rnacentral:tRNA from 2 species